GGAAUUUUAAUGGACAGCUGCUUAGGUUACAGCUAAGAAUAGCAGCGCUCCAGGAGGCGGCUGCAGCCAGGGCCCUGCGUGGGCACCAGCCUCCCCGUCGGAGCCGUGCCUGGGGAGCAGGGCCACCUGGGGGGCGCUGCGGGAGGCAGGCCCUGGGUGACCCCUCCGCAGCUGCCCCGUAAGUGAGAAAGUGGGACUGGCCUGGUCAGGUGGAGGAAAACUGCGUCCUCAACUUUGGAUCCUAAGUUUUUAAGGACGUGUUCAUUAGAUAUAGAAUUCUCAGUUGGCAGUCCCGACUCCCGUGCCCCUGGUUCUUUAAAGAUGUUCUUCUGUCCUCUGGGCUUCAUUGUUUCUGAUGUAAAUGAACAGUGGAAACUGAUAGGUAAUAUUUGCUUCUGUUUUGGUUUUGUUAUGCAUGUUUCUGACAUAAUGUAAACCGUUUUUUCAGUUUGGGUAAGGGGCUUUGCAUUCAGAUUCCUCUAAAAGUCAAGUCAUCUUUGGGGCUGGGCCACAAAUUAAUGACACUGCGUUUACCCAUGUUUGGCCUAAUCCUCUAUGUCCCAUUCCACGGCAGCCUUUUUGUUGUUUGUUUUGAGACGGAGUCUCGCACUGUGCCCAGGCUGUAGUGCAGUGUUGUGAUCUCUGCAGUCUCUGCCUUCUGGGUUCAAGCAAUUCUUCCUCAGCCUCCCGAGUAGCUGGGACUACAGGCGUGCACCACCACGCCCAGCUAAUUUUUUUUUUGUAUUUUUAGUAGAGACGAGGUUUCACCACGUUGGUCAGGAUGGUCUCGAUCUCCUGACCUCGUGAUCUACCCGUCUCAGCCUCCCAAAGUGCUGGGAUUACAGGCGUGAGCCACCACGCCUGGCCUUUUAGAUCUUGUCAGUAUUUGAGCUAGGAUGGGUUGGCUUUAGGCAUAUUUGGUUCACCUCAGUUAACUCUGGCACAGCAGUGGAAUUGCAGCACUGAGAUUGGGGAGGACUGAGUGGUUUCUCCCUGCUUCCCAGCCUCUCCUCCAUCACUGCUUUCAUGGCUGAAGUGGAGGCUGGAUGGGAGCGGUCAGGCUGGUUGCGC
rnacentral:lncRNA from 13 species